rnacentral:rRNA from 1 species
AUGGCAUACAAGCUCCAACUGCCGGCCAACAGCCGGAUCCACCCAGUUUUCCACGUGUCACAGCUGAAGCCUUUCACGCCGGACUACUCGCCGGUCUUCUCCAAGUUGCCUCGCGUGCCAGACCUCACCGUGGCUCCCCUCCAACCCGUGGCCAUCCUGGAUAGACGGAUGGUCAAGAAAGGCAACAUCUCGGUGGUUCAGGUGCGCGUUCAAUGGUCAUCUCUUUCUCCAGCGUCAGCAACCUGGGAGGACUACAACGUGCUGCGCCUUCGCUAUUCUACGACACAUUGCUGGAAGGAUGACGCUGCCGCUCAAGGCGGGGCAACUGUCACACCUGAUACACCUGAUACAAGUGUAUCGGUGGACAUGUAA